rnacentral:rRNA from 1 species
CAGUAGCCACGGUAAUACGUAGGUGGCGAGCGUUGUCCGGAAUUAUUGGGCGUAAAGGGCUCGCAGGCGGUUUCUUAAGUCUGAUGUGAAAGCCCCCGGCUCAACCGGGGAGGGUCAUUGGAAACUGGGAAACUUGAGUGCAGAAGAGGAGAGUGGAAUUCCACGUGUAGCGGUGAAAUGCGUAGAGAUGUGGAGGAACACCAGUGGCGAAGGCGACUCUCUGGUCCGUAACUGACGCUGAGGAGCGAAAGCGUGGGGAGCGAACAGGAUUAGAUACCCCUGUAGUCCCUGUCUCUUAUAC